UGUAAUUUCUGUGGCAGUUUAUUUAUGGCCGGUCGUGGUCGAGCGAACGGUUGCGGUCUUACACUAUCUGCGAAAGAAAAAGAGGAAAGAAAGAAGGGAGAAUUUCUCUGGGCAUGUACGUCGUAGAAGAAGCAGUCUUGAUUAAUUCUCGUGGCAGAUUUUGCGCUGCGCUAAUUACGCUAAGUGAGACACCCAGCGAGAGGAGUGGGGGAAAGGGGCGACUGCAUGCAAGGGGAGUGCGAAAGUAGCAACCGACGGAAAAUGCAGGCGAAGCGAAAGGAGGACAAGAAACACGAGAACGAUUCUCGUUUCUCGGAUUUAAUGGAUAUCUUGAGCGACAUCGUCUGGCGAAUUUCAUGAAGAAAAAUAAAAAAAGAAAAAAAG